rnacentral:rRNA from 1 species
GAUGAACGCUGGCGGCGUGCCUAACACAUGCAAGUCGAGCGAACGGAGGAGAAGCGGGCUUCUCUGGUGUUAGCGGCGGACGGGUGAGAAACACGUGGAUAACCUACCUAUAAGACUGGGAUAACUGAGGGAAACCGUAGCUAAUACCGUAUAAUAUUUUGAACAGCGUGGUGCAAAGGUGAAAGACGGUCUUGCGGUCACUUACAGAUGGAUUCGCGCUGCAUUAGCUAGUUGGUAAGGUAACGGCUUUCCAAGGCAACGAUGCAGAGCCGACCUGAGAGGGUGAUCGGCCACACUGGGACUGAGACACGGUCCAGACUCCUACGGGAGGCAGCAGUAGGGAAUGUUCCGCAAUGGGCGAAAGCCUGACGCAGCAACGCCGCGUGAGUGAUGAAGGUCUUCGGCUUGUAAAACUCUGUUAUUAGGAAAGAACAUCUGUGUUCGUACCUUUGCGGAUCUUGACGGUACCUGAAGAAAAAGCCCCGGCUAACUACGUG